GGCCAUAUCAUGUUGAAACACCAGUUCUCAUACGAUCACUGAAGUUAAGCAACAUUGAACCUGGUCAGUACCUAGAUGGGUGACUGCUUGGGAAUAUCAGGUGUUGGA